GGAAGGGUGGCCGAGCUGGUUUAAGGCGACGGUCUCGAACACCGUUUGGGAGCAAUCCCUCCAGGGUCCGAAUCCCUGCCCUUCCG
rnacentral:tRNA from 2 species